UCCUUGAUUGGCUUGCAUGGGGAUAAAAUCUGGAGCCUGGGGGAGGUGAGUGACAUUUUGGAGCGAGAUGGCAAGAGGAACGGUGGCCACAUACCUGCAUGGAGUGCUUCUCCUGGCUCUGUGGAAACCUUCGCUGCAAGGAGGUGUAUACAUACCAACUGCUGGAGGAGCUGGAGCUGUUGCAGGAGUUGGGUUUGGACCAGGCAGCACAGGAACAGGAUUUGGCCCUGGAGGAACUGGUUUCCAACCUGGUGGUGGAGUUGGACAAGGUGUUGGUCAAGGUGGAGGAGGAUAUGGUGGACAAGAACCUGGGGGGUUUGGACCAGGAAGUGUAGGACUGGGAGGAGUUGGACCAGGAGGUGUUGGACCAGGUGGAGUUGGACCAGGAAGAGUUGGACCAGUGGGGGUUGGGCCAGGGGGAGUCGGAUCAGGAGGAGUUGGACCUGGUGGAGCCGGAUCAGGGGGGUUUGGACCAGGGGGAGUUGGACCGGGAAUAGUUGGACCAGGGGGGUUUGGGCCAGGGGGAGUCAGACCCGGAGGAGUCGGACCAGGAGGAGUCGGACCAGGAGGAGUCGGAUCAGGAGGAGUUGGACCAGGUGGAGUCGGACCAGGGGGAAUUGGACCAGGAGGAGUCGGACCAGGAGGAUUUGGACCAGGGUCAGUCGGACCAGGAGGAGUUGGGUCAGGGGGAAUCAGACCAGGAGGGAUUGUUCCUGGGGCUGGUGGGAAACCUCCAAAAACAGGUGGCUACGGUGGACAGGGAGCAGGACUGGGAGCAGGAGGUGUAGGGACCGGAGGAUAUGGACAAGGUGGUUUUGGUCCUCAACGCUAUGGAACUGGGUCUGGUGAAGUUGGUCCAAGUGGUUUUGGACAAACAGGCACUGGUCCAGGAUAUGGAGGCCUUGGAGCAGGGGGGCUGGGUGGAGGAGGCCUUGGUACAGGAGGUCCUGGUACUGGUCUGGGUCAAGGAGCUGGAGCAGGCUACAUACCUGGAGGUGGCUAUGGAGGAUAUGGUGGGGGUUAUGGACCCAAACCCCCCAAGACUGGUGGUGUUGGAACAUCACUUGGAAGAACAGGUUACGGCCCUGGUGGAACAGGGGUUGGGCCAAGUGGUGCAGGAAUAGGUUCUGGGGGUACAGGGCUUGGGUCAGGUGGAGCAGGAGUUGGUCCUGGUGGAACUGGACUUGGGCCAGGUGGAGCAGGAGUUGGUCCUGGUGGAACUGGACUUGGGCCAGGUGGUGCAGGAGUUGGUCCUGGGGGAGCAGGGUUUGGACCAGGUGGUGGAGGAAUUAAUCCUGGGGGUGCAGGGUUUGGACCAGGUGGAACUGGGCUCAGGCCAAGUGGAGCAGAAGUUGGUCCUGGGGGUACAGGAUUUGGACCAGGAGGAGCAGGAAUCGGUCCUGGGAGAGCAGGGUUUGGACCAGGUGGAAUUGGGCUUGGACUAGGUGGAGCAGGAGUUGGUCCUGGGGGUACAGGAUUUGGACCAGGAGAAGCAGGAGUUGGUCCUGGUGGAGGCGGUCCAGUGCUGCCACAGACUGGUACAACUGGUGGAGGACCUGGAGGAAAGAGUGGUGGUAAAGCAUCAAUGCAAGUUCCAGGAGUUGGGGUGCCUGGACUCUAUCAAGGUGGAUUUGUUCCAGGUCAAGGUUUUGGAGGCCGUGGCAUUCUCCCAGGAGUGGUUACAGGAAAUGGACUUGGGCCUCAAACUGGAGCCGGAGUACUUGGUCAAGGUGGGGCAGGACCAGGAGGAGCAGCCAAUGGGCGAGGUCAACAAUUCCCAGGAGUUUUUCGUGGUUACCCACUCAUAACACCAAAAUCAGGCACAGGGAAAUCAAAGAAACCAGGCAAAGCAGCUGCUAAAUAUGGGGGAGCUGGAGGAGGCACCAUUGGUCAGGGAGGCACAUUAGGGGGCGGGGCUGGAAGACUUCCUGGAGGGGGAGUCAUACCUGGAGUAGGCGGGGGAGUUGGAACAGGAGGGGUAUCUGGUGUAGGGGGCGGUGUUGGAACAGGACUGGGACCUGGAUUUGGAACAGGUGUGGGACCUGGAUUAGGGGGUGGUUUUGGAACAGGAUCGGGACCGGGAGUUGGGAGUGGUGUUGGAACAGGAAUGGGACCUGGAUUUGGAACAGGAGUGGGACCUGGAUUUGGAACAGGAGUGGGACUUGGAAUAGGUUAUGGUCCUGGCUCAGCCAAAGCACGCAAAUAUGGACCUGGUGGAACUGGAGCUGGCUUCAGCACUGGAGGGGGCACAGGUGAUGGCUAUGGGUUUGGUCCAGGCACUGGUUCAGCUGGAGGCGCUGGAGGUGGACAGCUAGGAGGAGUCAGUCUUAGGACAGGAGUGGGACCUGGCUCAGGGAUUGGUUUUGGUCUGGGUGGUGCUGCCACUGGAAUUGGACCAGGUGGUCAAGGCUACGGUCCAGGUGGAACUGGCACAGGAAUUGGAAGACCAGGAACUGGACCUGGAGGGAAUUAUAAUAUAGGUUAUGAUGCAGGUGCCAAAGCUCGUAAAUAUGGAAUGUUAAGUGGGAUGCUUGGAGGUCUAGGAUUAGGACCAGGCGAAGCUGCUACUGGAUAUAGGCCAGGUGGAGUCUCGCCAGGUGGCACUGGAACUGGCUAUGGACCAGGAGGAGUCGGGCCAGGUGGUGCUGGAACUGGCUAUGGACCAGGUGGAGUCGGGCCAGGUGGUGCUGGAACUGGCUAUGGGCCAGGAGGAGUCGGGUCAGGUGGUCCUGGAACUGGCUAUGGGCCAGGAGGAGUUGGGACUGGUAGCGCUGGAACUGGCUAUGGACCAGGAGGAGUCGGGCCAGGUGGUGCUGGAACUGGCUAUGGGCCAGGAGGAGUUGGGACUGGUGGCGCUGGAACUGGCUAUGGACCCGGAGGAGUCGGGCCAGGUGGUGCUGGAACUGGCUAUGGGCCAGGAGGAGUUGGGACUGGUGGUGCUGGAACUGGCUAUGGACCAGGAGGAGUUGGGCCAGGUGGUGCUGGAACUGGCUAUGGACCAGGAGGAGUUGGAACUGGUGGUGCUGGAACUGGCUAUGGACCAGGAGGUUCCAAAGCCCAAAAAUAUGGAGUGCCUGAGGGAGUGGGAGGUACCCUUGGUGCUGGAGGACUUGGCAGUGGUCCUGGACUGGGAGUUGGUGGAGGGAUUCCUGGACAAGGUGUUGGGCUGGCGACUGGUGGAGGUCCUGGCUCAGGGGUUGGGACAGCAGGGACCACUGGUUCUAGUUUUGGAACAGGAGGAAGACCAUUUGGCUUUGGACCAGGCAGUGUUGGAGGACAUCCUGGUGGGGCCAAGUCUCUCAAAUAUGGGCUUCCUGGUGGUGGAGGAGCUCCUGGAUCUGGUUUGGGUGGAAGGUUUGGUGUCACAACGGCAGGCACCUAUGGUCCAGGGAGUGGGGGAGCACUGGGAACAGGGUUAGGAUAUGGACCGGGAGCUGGAUCAGUACCUGGAACUGGUUAUGGACCAGGUGGAGGUUACACAGGACCAGGGACUGGAUAUGGACCAGGUUAUGGAACAAAAGUGAAACCUGCUAAAUACGGUCAAAGCGGUGGUGUACUUGGAGGUGGAGCAGGACGAGGUGGUUAUGGACCAGGAGGCUUUGGACCAGGGACAGGAGGUGCAGUGCAACCAGGAGGAGUAGCACCUGGUGCAGGAGCAGGUACCAGUCCAGGUGUUUCAGGGAACAGCACCAGUGGCGCAGCGUCAAGUGGGCCAGGAGAAAGGUUUGGAGGCCCAAGUGGAACACCGCCACCAUCACCAGAAGCUGAUAAUGUAAAUGCCAGUGGGAUAGAGGGCUCUGGAAUACCAGGUGAAGGAGGCACUGGUGUAGCUGGAAGGCCAGUUGGUGGUGAUGGAGAUGGUCUGAAUGGAACAGGAAUCCCCAUCAUUGGAGUGAAACCUGGAUUCAAUGGGAGCACAAUUUCAGUUUCCACAGGAGAUACUCCUGCUGGUGGUGUGGUUGCUAAACCUAGUGUAAGGCCAGGAUUUGGAGGGACAGCACUUCCCCCUAGAGGUCCUGGUGGUGACCUCUCUAGCAGAGCCCUGCCUGAUGCAAAACCCCUCAAACCUCCAGGUGUUCCUAGAGGAGACACACCAGGUGAAGGAGAUAGAGAAGGCAGUCCUGAUGGGGAGAUAGAUGGCUCAGUUGGAAGACCAGGUGGAGUUGGAGGAAGUCCCACUGGUUCAGGAUCAGCCGGAGGAGUUUCGGGUGGAGUAAUGGGAGUCGGACGAGGUGACAGUCCUGGUGGUGGAACUGGAGUUCAAUCAGGAGGUAUAACCACCGCUGUAGGAGGAACACCAAAGCCACCCCAAGCAUAUGGACAUGAUGGAACUCCAGCAGGAGGUGGGUCUGUUGGAGUUGGAGGGCUAGCAGGAGGAGUUGGAGGAGGUCCUGGAGGAACAAGCUUGGUACCUGGGGCUUCUGACUCUGGUGGAGUUGCAUCUGGAGUCCCAAAACCUGGAAAAAGCUAUGGUGCUGGUGGAGUUGGACUUUUACCAGGUGGAGGCGUACGGUACCCCAGUGGAGCCGGAGUGGGACAAGGAGCAGGAAAAGCAGGAAAAGCAUAUGGUGCUCGUGGAGCAGGAGGCCUAGGUGGGCUAGGACCUGGAGGUUACGGGACUGGAACAGGUGGCUAUGGUACAGGACCUGGUGGAUUUGGAACAGGACCUGGAGGUUAUGGAGGGCAAACAGGAAGUGGAUCCGCUGGUGGUCCUGGAGGUAUAGGGACUAUUGGUGUGGGAACUGGUCCAGGAAGAGCAGCAGGACCAGGAAGAGUUGAUAGUGGACUGGGAGGAUAUGGUGGUGGCGUAAGACCAGAUGGUUCUCGAUAUGGGACAGGUCCAGGAAUUGGAAAACCCCCCAAAAGUUAUGGAACAGGAGGUGCUGGUACCGCAUUUGGACCUGGCAGUUAUGGAACAGGACCAGGGGGAGUUGGUCUUGGUCCUGGUGGGUUUGGACCUGGCACUGGUGGCACAGGACUGGGUGGUGCAGGAACUGGACCUGGUAGUUUUGGGCCAGGUGGUGUUGGCCCAGGACCAGGUGGAUAUGGACCAGGUGGAGCAGGGGUCAUCCCUGGUGUUUAUGCUGCUGGAGGUCAAGGACUGGGUACAAGAAAACCACAAAAGACAGGUUAUGGAUCAUCAUUGGGUGGUGCUGGCUUUGGACAAGGUACAGGAUUUGGACCUGGAGGACCAGGCACUGCACCUGGCAGAUAUGGACCAGGCGGUGUUGGGACAGGACCCGGGUUUGGACCAGGUGGUGUUGGGACAGGACCCGGGUUUGGACCAGGCAGUGUUGGGACAGGAACUGGGUUUGGACCAGGUGGUGUUGGGACAGGAACUGGGUUUGGACCAGGCGGUGUUGGGACAGGACCCGGGUUUGGACCAGGCGGUGUUGGGACAGGAACUGGGUUUGGACCAGGCGGUGUUGGGACAGGAACUGGGUUUGGACCAGGCGGUGUUGGGACAGGAACUGGGUUUGGACCAGGUGGACAAACAUUAGGAAAACAAAAACCUUCUAAAUCUGGUUACGGCGGAACUGGUUAUGGAACAGGAGGUGUUGGAGGUGGUACUGGUCCUGGAGACACUGGAACUAGACCUGGAAGCUUUGGUCCCGGAGGAUAUGGACCAGGUGGAGCUGGGACAGGUCCUUCUGGUGGCUUUGUUCAAGGAGGUGUUGGACCUGGUGGUUUGGGUCCAGGAGGUGCUGGUACUGGUGGUUUUGGUCCAGGUGGUGCUGGAAGCUUACCAGGGGGUUUUGGACCUGGUGGCCAAAAUCUUGGAACAAGAAAGCCUGCUAAAUCUGGAUAUGGUUCAUCUUUGGGUGGAACUGGAUAUGGACCAGGAACAGGAGGUCUUUCUGGACCAGGAACAGGAGGUGCCAUAGGGGGAGGUCCGGGUACUGGUGUGGGGGGCCCAGGGGGAGCAGGAGGAACAAGCCAGACUGUAGGAGGAGUCGCUGGCCUUCCAGCAGGGGGUGCUGGUCCGGGAUAUGGUGGAGUAGCAGGAGGAGUAUAUCCAGGAUAUGCAGGAACUGGACAAAAAUCUAAGGCACAGAAGGCAGCUAAAUAUGCAGCCAUGCAGGCCUUUCUUGGAGGCUACAGAGGUGCUGGCUGUCAGGGUAACUACUGCGGGAGGAGGAGGAAAUGA
rnacentral:lncRNA from 1 species